rnacentral:rRNA from 1 species
AGAGUUUGAUCCUGGCUCAGAUUGAACGCUGGCGGCAUGCCUUACACAUGCAAGUCGAACGGCAGCACGGGGGCAACCCUGGUGGCGAGUGGCGAACGGGUGAGUAAUACAUCGGAACGUGUCCUGUAGUGGGGGAUAGCCCGGCGAAAGCCGGAUUAAUACCGCAUACGCUCUACGGAGGAAAGGGGGGGAUCUUAGGACCUCCCGCUACAGGGGCGGCCGAUGGCAGAUUAGCUAGUUGGUGGGGUAAAGGCCUACCAAGGCGACGAUCUGUAGCUGGUUCUGAGAGGACGACCAGCCACACUGGGACUGAGACACGGCCCAGACUCCUACGGGAGGCAGCAGUGGGGAAUUUUGGACAAUGGGGGAAACCCUGAUCCAGCAAUGCCGCGUGUGUGAAGAAGGCCUUCGGGUUGUAAAGCACUUUUGUCCGGAAAGAAAUCCUCUUCGCUAAUACCGAGGGGGGAUGACGGUACCGGAAGAAUAAGCACCGGCUAACUACGUGCCAGCAGCCGCGGUAAUACGUAGGGUGCAAGCGUUAAUUCGGAAUUACUGGGCGUAAAGCGUGCGCAGGCGGUUCGCUAAGACAGAUGUGAAAUCCCCGGGCUUAACCUGGGAACUGCAUUUGUGACUGGCGGGCUAGAGUAUGGCAGAGGGGGGUAGAAUUCCACGUGUAGCAAGUGAAAUGCGUAGAGAUGUGGAGGAAUACCGAUGGCGAAGGCAGCCCCCUGGGCCAAUACUGACGCUCAAUGCACGAAAGCGUGGGGGAGCAAACAAGGAUUAGAUACCCCCGUAGUCC